CAGGCCUUUGGCAUCAACUGAGGGGUUGAGACAGAGAAACGGUCAUCGUGGUUAUAACUAUGAACCCGAGAGGUCAUGUCAUGGUUAUAACUAUGAACCCGAGAGGUCAUGUCAUGGUUAUAACUAUGAACCCGAGAGGUCAUGUCAUGGUUAUAACUAUGAACAGAGGUCAUGUCAUGGUUAUAACUAUGAACCUGAGAGGUCAUGUCAUGGUUAUAAAUAUGAACAGAGGUCAGAUCAUGGUUAUAACUAUGAACAGAGGUCAUGUCAUGGUUAUAACUAUGAACAGAGGGGUCGUAUCAUGGUUAUAACUAUGAACAGAGGUCAUAUCAUGGUUAUAACUAUGAACAGAGGUCGUAUCAUGGUUAUAACUAUGAACAGAGAGGUCGUAUCAUGGUUAUAACUAUGAACAGAGGGGUCAUAUCAUGGUUAUAACUAUGAACAGA